UACAGAGGUGCCAAGCGUUAGGCGGAAUCACUGGGCUUAAAGCGUGUGUAGGCGGACUUGUAAGUAUCUUGUGAAAUCCCACGGCUUAACCGUGGAACUGCUUGGUAUACUGCAAGUCUUGAGCCAGCUAGGGGUUACCGGAACAAGUGGUGGAGCGGUGAAAUGCGUAGAUAUCACUUGGAACGCCAAUGGUGAAAACAGGUAACUGGGGGUUGUGCUGACGCUGAGACACGAAAGCUAGGGGAGCAAACGGG
rnacentral:rRNA from 1 species